GAGUGGGGACCGAGGCUCUGCAGCGCCCCCUGCCGCCCCCAGCUGUUCCUGCCGGGCAGAGACCUUGGGCCUCUGGGACUCACCCACUUGCUUGGCUGGAAGGAGCUGGUACCCAGCUGGAUCUGCCUGUAGGGACAAAAAAAUCGGUGGCCGGGAGUAGACGCCAUGAACCAUUUAUCAGCCGUCAGUUCCAGCCAAGGCUUCCUUCA
rnacentral:lncRNA from 1 species